rnacentral:rRNA from 1 species
CCCUAAACGAUGUCUACUAGUUGUCGGGUUUUAAUUAACUUGGUAACGCAGCUAACGCGUGAAGUAGACCGCCUGGGGAGUACGGUCGCAAGAUUAAAACUCAAAGGAAUUGACGGGGACCCGCACAAGCGGUGGAUGAUGUGGAUUAAUUCGAUGCAACGCGAAAAACCUUACCUACCCUUGACAUGUACGGAAGUCACGAGAGAUCGAGAUGUGCUCGAAAGAGAACCGUAACACAGGUGCUGCAUGGCUGUCGUCAGCUCGUGUCGUGAGAUGUUGGGUUAAGUCCCGCAACGAGCGCAACCCUUGUCAUUAGUUGCUACAUUUAGUUGAGCACUCUAAUGAGACUGCCGGUGACAAACCGGAGGAAGGUGGGGAUGACGUCAAGUCCUCAUGGCCCUUAUGGGUAGGGCUUCACACGUCAUACAAUGGUACAUACAGAGGGCCGCCAACCCGCGAGGGGGAGCUAAUCCCAGAAAGUGUAUCGUAGUCCGGAUCGCAGUCUGCAACUCGACUGCGUGAAGUUGGAAUCGCUAGUAAUCGCGGAUCAGCAUGUCGCGGUGAAUACGUUCCCGGGUCUUGUACACACCGCCCGUCACACCAUGGGAGCGGGUUUUACCAGAAGUAGGUAGCUUAACCGCAAGGGGGGCGCUUACCACGGUAGGAUUCGUGACUGGGGUGAAGUCGUAACAAGGUAGCCGUAUCAGAAGGUGC